rnacentral:sRNA from 1 species
UCAAAAUGCCUUUUUACAUCCUGGGACACCUUUAGACCAUGGCAUAAGAAAAGACCCAUGUGCAUGACACCCCUGGCUCUGCAGGUAGAUUGGCACACUGCUGUUUCUGGUGGUCUGAGUUCCCCUACCCCAAGCCUUGUGCUGCAUGGAGUCAUCAUCACCGUGACCCUCCCGUUCCACCCUGAACUCAUCAGUCUUUCUCUGUUUCAGGAUAGGAUUUUUGGGCCUUGGUCUCAUGGGAAGUGGAAUCGUCUCCAACUUGCUAAAAAUGGGUCACACAGUGACUGUCUGGAACCGCACUGCAGAGAAAGAGGGGGCCCGUCUGGGAAGAACCCCCGCUGAAGUCGUCUCAACCUGCGACAUCACUUUCGCC